rnacentral:rRNA from 1 species
UACGGAGGGUGCAAGCGUUAUCCGGAUUUACUGGGUUUAAAGGGUGCGUAGGUGGGUUGGUAAGUCAGUGGUGAAAUCUUCGAGCUUAACUCGGAAACUGCCAUUGAUACUAUCAAUCUUGAAUUAUCUGGAGGUAAGCGGAAUAUGUCAUGUAGCGGUGAAAUGCUUAGAUAUGACAUAGAACACCCAUUGCGAAGGCAGCUUACUACGGAUACAUUGACACUGAGGCACGAAAGCGUGGGGAUCAAACAGG